UAAAACUAACGUCACUCCCAUAGUCACAAGACCUCUCAGCUGAGGCUGUCUUAAUUUCUCUGUUUUUCCCAAAUAUAAAGUUUUUCGAUUCUUCUUCGGUAAUAACAGACGUGAUUAUCAAUUCUAUAGCCAAAAUGGCUAAUAUCGGGGAUGAAAAUGUUAGUCAACUUAUGCCGUCGCUGGGUGAUGAAAAAAUCGAUAUGAUUGCAGCCACCAGCGUCUUGCAAAUUCGUGCAAGCGAGAUCCGCCAAACUCAGAUCAAUUGGCAGUCUUAUCUGCAGUCUCAGAUGAUCACGCAACGUGACCAUGACUUCAUUGUGAACUUGGAUCAGCGUGGUCAAAAGGAGCUGCCGGAUAGGAACCCAGAAACCUGUGCUGAGGUGUUCAUGAACUUGCUGACGCACAUCAGCAAGGACCACACCAUCCAGUACUUGCUGGUCCUGAUUGAUGACAUCCUUUCUGAAGACAAAAGCAGGGUGAAGAUCUUCCGUGAGGCGAGGUCUCUGGGCAACCCGUGGCAGCCGUUCCUCAACCUGCUGAACCGUCAGGAUGAGUUUGUCCAGCACAUGACUGCGCGCAUCAUCGCCAAGCUGGCUUGCUGGCACCCACACCUGAUGGAGAAGAGCGACCUCCACUUCUACCUCUCCUGGCUCAAGGACCAACUGAAAAUGAACGCGGAGAAAAUGUCUGCCGAGUUAGAGCAUGCCGAGCAGGUUAUGUUGCUGCACGAGAAACAGCAUUUCGCCGCCGAUAAACUUCAGAAACAUCUGAAACAUCACCACAAAGAAAAAGACAGUGUCGACGCUGGCCCAGAGAAGUACUCGAGCCUUUACAGCUCCUUUGAUGAGCUGAAGCCGCUUGAGGACUUGCCGCCCGGUCUGCACAAGAACAAUGACUACAUUCAAUCGGUGGCUCGUUGCCUGCAAAUGAUGCUCCGCGUGGACGAGUACCGCUUCGCGUUCCUGUCUGUGGACGGCAUCUCCACCCUGCUGUCUAUCCUGGCCUCCAGGGUCAACUUCCAGGUGCAAUAUCAGUUGGUGUUCUGCCUGUGGGUGCUGACUUUCAACCCGCUGUUAGCCGAGAAGAUGAACAAGUUCAACGCCAUCCCCAUCCUGGCUGACAUCCUCAGCGACUCCGUGAAGGAGAAGGUCACUCGCAUUGUGCUCGCUGUCUUCAGGAACCUGAUCGAGAAGCCUGAAGAUCAUCAGGUGGCCAAAGAACACUGCAUCGCCAUGGUGCAGUGCAAGGUCCUGAAGCAGCUCUCCAUCUUGGAGCAGAAGCGUUCUGAUGACGAGGACAUUAUGAACGAUGUGGACUUCCUUAACGAACGCCUGCAGACCUCCGUGCAAGACCUCAGCUCCUUCGACCAGUAUGCCACUGAAGUUAAGAGUGGCCGUCUCGAAUGGUCUCCCGUCCACAAAUCCGCUAAGUUCUGGCGCGAGAACGCGGCCCGCCUCAACGAGCGCGGCCAGGAGUUGCUGCGGACGCUCGUGCACCUGCUGGAGAAGAGCUCCGACCCCGUCGUGCUGGCCGUGGCCUGCUACGACGUCGGCGAAUAUGUUCGCCACUACCCCAGGGGCAAGCAUAUUAUCGAGCAACUGGGUGGCAAACAACGCGUGAUGUACCUGCUCAGCCACGAAGACCCUAACGUGCGAUAUGAAGCUCUACUCGCCGUCCAGAAAUUGAUGGUUCACAACUGGGAGUACCUUGGCAAGCAACUGGAGAAGGAACAGAUCGACAAGCAGGCUGGCACCGUUGUCGGCGCUAAGGCUUAAACAUGUUAUAUAUUGUAAAUGAAAUAUUUAAUUCGUUGUUAUUAUUGUUGUCUUGAAUGUACCAGGCAAUAUUACAGAUAUAGUAACUGCAUUACGUAAAACAUAAUGUAAAUAAUGUGCCUCUUUCCAUUCUGACAUAACUUGCAUCUGCGUAAUCUGUUAUUACAUGCCUAUUAUAGCUUAAAACAAUAAAAAUAGCACUAAAUUUUUUGAAAUAUUUAGUGUACACAUUCCUUUAAGGGUUUUAUUGCAUAAAAAAAUUUAAUAUGAAUGUGAUUUAUUUAAAAAAAGAUAUUAUAAUUAUAUAAUCAAUAAUUAAAAUCAAUAGAGUUUUAGUGGUUUGUGAUGUGAUAACUGGCGACAUCAGUAUUGUGAAUAAAGUUCAUCAUAAUUAUGUUGA